CAACUUUCCUCUGGACAGGUUUUGAUAAAGUGGAGAGCCAUGGGGUGCGAUGUGAGAUUCCGUCUCUAACAGUUGAAGAGUACCUAUGAUAAAAAUGACAGACCUCUACAUGCUUUGUCCUCAUCGGCUUCCAGUAGAAACCAAUUUCUACGUAUAGCUCGUUCUAUCACUGGAUUCAUAGGGGUAUUCUGGAAUACAAAGAUGUCAAUUCUACAUGGAAUUCCAAUGGUGGCCUUUGGUUGUUAUCAACUUAGAACAACCUCCUUUCACCAUUGACCAUUGAGAGCAAAAAUACGGAAACAGUUUACAUUACAUCGAGAGACCAGGAAAUAAGCGCUCCAUAGAAUAAUAUUGUUGGACCCAGAGAGCUGAUUAAUGGGCACAGGAUUGCUGGAGGGAAUGGUGAAAAACUAUCUGCAUCUGGCCUGGUCAACAAUGGGGGUAAAAGUCAAGACACCAUUGAAGAAGAGUCAAGCAGAUGUCAGCAGUAUUUGGACAAACUCAAGAACAGAUUUAGAAAGGAGAAUGGUUAAAAACAAUAUAAAGUAUAAGCUCAAGGCUCAAAACCAACCAGGAAAGGGAAUAACUAUGAUAUGUGGAAACCGACAGGUUCUUGGAAAAAGAUUAAUUAAAAUGUUUCUACAGACACCUUAGGUCUGGAAUACAUGUACCAGAUAUCUCAAUUAUUAGACACUUCAGGAAAACUGGUUAG